AUGCAAGUCGAGCGAAGAUAAGGAGCUUGCUCCUUUGACGUUAGCGGCGGACGGGUGAGUAACACGUGGAUAACCUACCUAUAAGACUGGGAUAACUUCGGGAAACCGGAGCUAAUACCGGAUAACAUAUUGAACCGCAUGGUUCAAUAGUGAAAGGCGGCUUUGCUGUCACUUAUAGAUGGAUCCGCGCCGUAUUAGCUAGUUGGUAAGGUGACGGCUUACCAAGGCAACGAUACGUAGCCGACCUGAGAGGGUGAUCGGCCACACUGGAACUGAGACACGGUCCAGACUCCUACGGGAGGCAGCAGUAGGGAAUCUUCCGCAAUGGGCGAAAGCCUGACGGAGCAACGCCGCGUGAGUGAUGAAGGUCUUCGGAUCGUAAAACUCUGUUAUCAGGGAAGAACAAAUGUGUAAGUAACUGUGCACAUCUUGACGGUACCUGAUCAGAAAGCCACGGCUAACUACGUGCCAGCAGCCGCGGUAAUACGUAGGUGGCAAGCGUUAUCCGGAAUUAUUGGGCGUAAAGCGCGCGUAGGCGGUUUUUUAAGUCUGAUGUGAAAGCCCACGGCUCAACCGUGGAGGGUCAUUGGAAACUGGAAAACUUGAGUGCAGAAGAGGAAAGUGGAAUUCCAUGUGUAGCGGUGAAAUGCGCAGAGAUAUGGAGGAACACCAGUGGCGAAGGCGACUUUCUGGUCUGUAACUGACGCUGAUGUGCGAAAGCGUGGGGAUCAAACAGGAUUAGAUACCCUGGUAGUCCACGCCGUAAACGAUGAGUGCUAAGUGUUAGGGGGUUUCCGCCCCUUAGUGCUGCAGCUAACGCAUUAAGCACUCCGCCUGGGGAGUACGACCGCAAGGUUGAAACUCAAAGGAAUUGACGGGGACCCGCACAAGCGGUGGAGCAUGUGGUUUAAUUCGAAGCAACGCGAAGAACCUUACCAAAUCUUGACAUCCUUUGACCGCUCUAGAGAUAGAGUCUUCCCCUUCGGGGGACAAAGUGACAGGUGGUGCAUGGUUGUCGUCAGCUCGUGUCGUGAGAUGUUGGGUUAAGUCCCGCAACGAGCGCAACCCUUAAGCUUAGUUGCCAUCAUUAAGUUGGGCACUCUAAGUUGACUGCCGGUGACAACCGGAGGAAGGUGGGGAUGACGUCAAUCA
rnacentral:rRNA from 1 species